rnacentral:snRNA from 2 species
UGGAAAUUAUGUUCUUUUAGUAUUUGUCCAGUAGGUUUCCUCAAGGAGAAAGCCCCU